rnacentral:lncRNA from 1 species
UUCAAAGUAAUAGGUUGUCAAAAGCUAUAUCAUGCACUUUAAUUUAAUGAAAUUAUUUUGAAUAGCACUGAACAAAUACUGAUAAUAAUAUCAAAAACUAAAGAGAGUCGUUGCAACUCAAAUUAGUAGAAAGGGAGCACAAAGCUAGCAAAACCUUCCCCUGCUGUUACUGCAACCCUGAGCUUGAUACCUGAUGCAUAAUUGGCUAGUGUUGGAAUUUUUAGACCAUGUUAAGCUGAAACAAGCUCCCCCACGAAAUCCAACAGAUAAACUAUAACUUAACAGUCUGUAGUAACUAUCAUAAUUUUUACCUCAUAGUUUUUUCCCCAUUUUUUAAAGUAAAUCAGAUAGUGAAAUUUCAGAAGAUAUUUCAUGCAGUAGAUACAGGGCAAACUAUCUAUGUAAUUCAGCAACAAGACUUGGUCCACCAGUUGGCACCCUCUACUCUGGGAAGAGGUCCUGGACUUCAAUCCUGGUGGUGGCAUAUUACCACUGUAGUUCUCAGAAAAUAUUGAGGAUGAAACAUAGAAACAGUCUAUCUGCACAUGGGUUAAUGUUGGGUACAUCUGACCCUUUCUAAACUCUACAGUGGCCGGAGCCUCAUGCACUAGUCCCCCAUUUUUUAAUUCUCAUAUGUAUGCAUAUGAGAAAUUUUUUUAUUCUCUAGCAAUCCUCAUUCAGGUUACACACACACAAAUAGACAUAUAUAUAUAUAUAUAUAUAUA